AAGGAAAUUCUACUGGAUUGUGUGGAAAGAUUUAGCCUUCUACACCAGGAUGAGGAAGAAGAGUCCAGUAGGCAGGAAACCGAAGAGAAAAUACUCCUG
rnacentral:sRNA from 1 species